GCUGCAACUCGCCUACAUGAAGUUGGAAUUGCUAGUAAUCGUGGAUCAGCAUGCCACGGUGAAUACGUUCCCGGGUCUUGUACACACCGCCCGUCACACCAUGGGAGCUGGUAACACCCGAAGUCAGUAGUCUAACCGCAAGGAGGACGCUGCCGAAGGUGGGAUUAGCGACUGGGGUGAAGUCGUAACAAGGUAUC
rnacentral:rRNA from 1 species